GGCGAGGCCAAGCCCUCACCUUGUCCUGCUUGAUCUUCAUGAGGACCCUGUUGAUUAAAGACACUGGUAGGAAGGCAUACAUUAGGGCCCCCAAUCACAGGAGUAAGAAGGCAUCAUACAGGGAGCCUCUGUCGAUCCCCCAAAUUAAGCAGAAUACAUGGCACUUCCUGUUCUAUCUGGACGUGAACAAGUCCACUCAGGGAGUUCCCCACCUCUGGAAGAUCAUGCUGACCACCUCCAGGUGGAGUGACCACUCGUGGAGAUAUGAGACAGUCCUGUUGAGGGGAUCUGCCAACAUGUUCCUGGCCCCGGGAGGUGCACUGUCACAAGAUGGAUGGCAUGCUGCACACAGAAGUCCCACAGCCAAAGAACUUCUUGGCAAAGCGCUGAUGACCUGGCUCCGCCUUGCUUGUUGAUAUAAAACAUUGUGGCGGUGUUGUUCAUCAGGAUCUGGAUUACCUUGCCCCUCAAAUGAGGCAGGAAAGCCUGGCUGGCCAAGGAAAUUGCUCUGAGCUUUCUGAUGUUUAUGUGGAGGGAGAGAUCAUCUUGUGACCAAUGACCUUGCGUGCUGAGAUCAGCCAGGUGCCUCUUGGGGAUGCAGACUGAUGCCAGCCAUGCUUGCAGGGGUCUGAGAUGGAGCUGGGCAUGACGUACCAUGUAGAGUACAGGCUGCCAUGUGGCCUAACAACCUUAGGCAUCUGUAAGCGGUGGUGAGCGGGCAGGCCCUCACAUGCAAGAUCAGGUCUGUCAUGGCUCAGAAACGGGCCUCUGGGAGGAAGCCCCUUGCCCGCAUGGAGUUGAGGACCGCCCCCGCUAUGAAUUCUGUUUGUUGUGCCAGUAUUAGGGUUGAUUUCUUUUAGUUUAUUAAGAGGCCCAGAUCAUGACAUGUGGAAUGUACCUGAUCUCGGCCCAAAGUCCAGAGUUUGGUCAAGAGAUCAGAGGCCUAGCAAUAGCUAAGAGAAAGCAAAAUAACCAAAGAUAACCUUGCUUUUGCUAAGAUAUGCCUGGUCAGCAAAACGCCAGAUAUUGGGGGCAAUAAUUGUGUCUUAUUCAAAGUUGCAAAUAGAACAAAGAAGCCCUGUUUCUGUUGUGUUAGUUUCUUCUGUAGGGAGAUGUUCUUCCCACACAUCCAACCUUGAGUUUAUGAAAGGUUCAAGCAUGUCAGUGUAAGAUAUGGCCUCCUCCCACCUCCCUUUCCCAGGGACCAAUGCCUACCUUAAAACACAAAUGAACAACUUAAAAGACAAUCUUUAUUGCCAUAUACUUUCACUGUUUCUUUGCUUGGCCAAAAGGAGCUACUUCAUUCCUAGGGACCCCAACUCAGAAUUCAUCUUAUAUAUAUUAUACUAAUACAUUAAUUAAAGUACUAAUUAAAUGUUAAUUUGUGAACUUAAGACCAUAGGCAGAGACAUUAUGUAACCUUUGACCAUUGGCUACUGUGCUAUCACGUCUUGCAGCUAAACCUAUCUGAGGGUGUGGGACUGCCUACCCCGUUACUUUCCCCCGCCCAUGGAAAAUCCAUAUAUUCCAUUGUAAUCAAUUGAUUGACAGGGUCUCUGAGCCUAACAUAUGAGGUGACACUCAGUCAGCGCUGUAUGUAAUAAACUCCUGUGCUUGACCUCUACACAGUGUGGAUUUAUGUCCUUCAGUUUGGGGGCUUGUCCGGGAUACAGGCUUGUGAGCUGACUGAGGAUCUGAGACCGAAAUCCAAAAAAGAAGGUGAACAAAAGGAAGUGAAGGAGGAAGGACUGAAGGGUGACCAGGACAACCGGAGUGACCAUGGGGAGGCUCCUGCUGUCCCUGUGGUGCAUGUGGAAGGACGCAAGCAGUGUGCCAUGUGAAAAGGAGGACUGGGAAUGGGUCACUAACCCCCCUCCUCCGGGUUUGCUUCACUUUAAUUGCCGCACUAAAGAAACUUAGCUUUUGCAGAACACAUGCAGUGGCCAAUAAACAAGUCUGGCCAGAGGUAAUGGUGGCACUAUGGUUAGGACAUGAGCACACGUGGAACGUAAAAAGGUCCAAAUAAAAUCAUACACUGAUGCUCAUAACAACAGGGAGACUAGUAACAUUACAAUUUUGAUAACAGCUGACUGCCCUGUUAUUCGCGGGUGUCAGGUGCCAGAGAUUAUGGAGUUUAAUGGAGGCAUUUGGAAGGACUCAGGAAGUACAUGAGUUACCCCUUUGAGCAGGGUGACACCCUUAGACGAUGCUGUGGCCCUCUUAGAGGGACAGUGUCUAUACUUAAUGCAACCAGUGUCCGGAUUACCUUUAAAGGGGGACAGCUGCGUACUACUAGUGAAGGGGAAUACAAGGUCCUGGGUUAUCCCUCAUUUGAACAUAAUUACAUGGCAUAUUGCCACGAUGGCUUGGCUUUACACAGGGAACUGUAACUGAUCUCUGAUCUCCUUGAUGGCCGGGUCCACCCAGCCCUUAUGGAAGUGGUGGGACCCUAUGUCCCUAGUACCCCUCCGUGGGCAUAGGGAAACAGAGAAUCAAUGAGAGUCCAAAGACCGGUUUAGACAGGUCACAGUAUACUCUUUAACCUUUUGGUAUCUCUGGGCAUCCCUCAUUUACAGCAAGCCAGGAUGGUGACCUCCAUACCAGUAUGGAGGAGGGGUCAUGUUAUUAAGAUAGAAAGCGUUGCAUACUCCAAGGUUGCUGGGAGAGCACUGCAUCCUAUUGAACGUUGCACCCACUUGAAUAAGGAAAUUGUGUGUACAUGCCCAUAUAAUAUUCUAAUGAAUCAGUCUACGUUCAAAGUGGCCAUCACGGAGAAACUGGUACACACGGAGCUGGUCCAGAUGAACUGUACCUACUGGUGUGUGACUGCCCAAUACCACUCCAUCAAGUUAAAUGGAAAGCUCUGCCCCUCAAGGCAUCCAGCCGUGUGCAUAACGGUUUCCCGAAGGGCAACCCUGACUGUUGAUGGGACGCAGCUCCACCAUACUCCGCCAAUGAUGGGUAAACUAACAUGGGAUCCGGAAUGUCACUACGGCAGUAAGUAUCUAGAGGAGGGUCUACAGGCCCUGCAGGCAAAGAUCGAGGAGUUGGUGGCCAAGGCCCAGAGAUAUAUUAGGGAAGGCCGUCUGAGGUACACCCUGAUAGGGGAAACCGUGGACCAGGCCGCUGUGAAGUACUCAAAGGUGCAGAACCAGGCAGGGGAGGUUAAAACGAUGAUCAUUGGCGAUGCCAUCUCAGGUGAUAAGGUCCCCUGGGGAUGGAUCUGGGUGCUAUUUUGUCAAGUUAUGUGGGGAGUCUAUCCUGACAUUCCUGAUGGUAUUGGUGCUUUACCGGUGACUCCGAAAUAGACUGGGUACAUUGAAAUUGGUAUAUUUGACCUGGCGGGUUAGGAAACCCUAGGGUCAAGAGGAGGGACUGAAGGGUUAAAAUCCAUUGCUGAUGUAAUAAUGUGGUAUAUGGAUUUGUGUUUUUUAUACUAAUACAUUAAAGUAUUAACUAAAUGUUAAUUUGUGAACUUGAGACCAUGGGUGGAGACAUUAUGUAACCUUUGACCAUUGGCUACUGUGCUAUCAUGUCUUGCAGCUAAACCUAUCUGGGGGUGGGGGCAGGGGGGCAGUGUAGGACUGCCUACCCAGUCACUUUCCCCUGCCCAUGGGAAAUCCAUAUAUUCCAUUGUAAUCAAUUGAUUGACAGUAUCUCUGAGCCUAACAAGCGAGGUGACACUCCGCCAGUGCUGUACGUAAUAAACUCCUGUGCUUGACCUCUA